rnacentral:rRNA from 1 species
UUCAGCAGCCAUAUCGCCCAUAUUGCAACUCAAAACAGAUAACCACUGAAGGUCAGCAGGUGUGAGCCUGGUCAGUACCAGCAUGGGAGACCUCCUGGGAAAAACUAAAGUUGCUGCUAGAA